AUGAACGUCGUAAUGAUUCGAUAAGGUGUUAAACAGCGUUGCAUCCGGAGACACCACCUAUGUUAGUGUAUGGCUAACAUAGAACAAAUGUUCUGAGAGCCUCGGUUAGGGUUGGCGGUUCAGACUAGGAACCGCCUAAACACCAGUCCGGUUGAAUAAUCUUGUACGGUCUUCAUUUGGGUUUUGUGUUACUCCAGACGUCACCACACUGCCAUCAGCAAGGGUGUAAAGGUAAAAGGUCCCACUCAAGAGGCCCACUAACAGUAAAAGGGUCCAAUUGCUUUAACAAAUUAAACUGGUCCAUUUAAGAUUUGUUUUAGGAGCCCCCCCCAAAAUUAAAAGUGAAGCUCACUACCCUUGGUGGGGCUGGAGCAAGUUGUGUAGUCGCGAGGGGUGGACGAAAUAUGGCAAGUUGUCACAUGCCUAAUCGACAACUCUGCAAGUUGAAGCGUUCCAUAAAGGUCAUUCGUCAAAUCUAGAAUUUUUCGACCACAAUGGCACAAAUCGCUGAUUUGCAAGGGGCUAGGCAAAUGUCAUGACUUGGGUUGUCUGUAGUUAGUAGUCGACUAGCCUCAGGAGUGACUCGUGAGGCGAUUAGACGAGCACAAAUAGG
rnacentral:lncRNA from 1 species